rnacentral:lncRNA from 1 species
AGACAAAGUAGCCAGCCCACCAUCCCUAGAUGAUUUUGCAGUCUUUGCACACCAGUGUGGCCAUAGGCCUGUUUUCUCCUGGACGGAGCCUGCAGAUCCUAUGAGCAAGCAUAUGUCCUGUGCUCCACUAGUCCUAGCUGGAUCGUGGACAUAUUACCAUCAUUACAAAUAUCAAUAGUUUGUGAUUACUUCAAACAAUCUGAAGUUGAAGGACCCCAGAUAUCCUUCAAAACAGGAAUCUGCAGGCAGAUGCUGAACCCAUGAAUACAGAGGGACAACUAUGCUCCGGCCCUGAACGCAGGAGAGUUGCUAAAGAAGUUGCUCACAGAGGCGGGAGAGAGCAGGCUACUGGUUUCCUUCAAAAUGGAAUAGGAAACAGAAAACGUGCAUCAUUUCUUCGCACUUGAAUCAGCAACAUGACACAGGACUUUGGCAUCAG